GCCAUAAAUAAGUCAGCUAUUAAUAUUCAGGGUAUGAAUUUGAUAGCGUUACAUUUAUGGUAGAGUAAAAUGAAGGAUUUGGUAUUUAAACAUAUUGUCGUUCUGACAAUAUCGAUUUAUAAUACGUCCUUCUUUGUUCCUCAGAGAGUUGAUUAUUUAUUAACAAAUAAUCAUAGUUUUGGAACAUACAAA